GCGUAUAGAUCGUUGGUACAGUCGGAUACACAACAACCCUAAGUGGGGUGGAGGGGUGCUUCCUGAUUGGAGGGGCAUGGGUGGAGGUGGAAUAGACGCCGGGGAGGUAGGUUUAUGAGAGGGGGACUUCGGAAAAAUGUGGGCCGGUGGAGAGGGGGACUAAGGAGAGACAGAGAGCGUGAUGUCCCAACAGCGACGGUUGAGGUUAACGUCCUUCGAGGCCGCCUGAGGGUUGGGUGACGAGUGGCCGGACGGGGUGAGGCAGAUACAAGAGGAAGUCAGGAAGCGGGCUCCGGUAGCGAGGGGAUGUGCGCGCCGUGCGUUGUUGGGAUCGGCGGUGUGUAGCGGCCGCACCGAGGCUGUCGAGGCCAAAUAGCCGGGUGAUGGGGACGUAGUGGAGUGCGCGCCGUCGGCCGAGCCCGAAUAUAGCUACAUGUAGUGAAUACGUAAUGUUAGUCCUCUUUAGCUAGGUACGUCUUCUUCGGAAUUCUUAAUAAAUUGAGUAAACAAAUAUCGAACCGCUCCUAGGAAAGCGUACAAUGUCAUUCCUUUUGUACUUAAACAUAGAAUAAGAAAAAAGACCAACUACAUUAUAAACAAAAGGGACCUGUUUUUGAAUACAAUCAAAGUCAAAGAAUAAGUCAAUUUUAAACGUGUGAUGUUAGAACUUCAAAUACGUUCUCGAGUCUACCUUUAUUAAGAAUGUGAGUAUAAUAGGUUAUAUUUAACAGUUUAUUAACUAUUUCAAACUUCCACGCUAUGUUCUUGUAGUAUGGAACUAUAAGAACAGUAUACAUAUACUGAGUAUAACAACUUUAGAGUGGAGAUUUAGCUCAAAUCACGAGAAAAAAACCUUUAUGUCCAUGAAGACUUAAGGACGUUAAAGACAUGAUUAAAACAUAAAACACUCCUCGGUGUCUACAAAUGUUUAUGAUCUUACUACGUACUAUCCAGCGUGUGUUUGAGAACUGGUCCACGGAGAGUGUAGAAGAGUACAAACAUGAUAUAAGAAGAAUUUGACAAUUGUGUUACUCGUACAUGAACCAAGUAGGUUCUUGUGUUACUCGUACAUGAACCAAGUAGGUUCUUGCAUUUGUAAUUUUUAUAAGGAGAACACGUGAGAGGAAGGGACUGUAUGUCCCGUGUGAUGCCACCAACCUACUAUGAUUGUUGGUAUUUGUCUGUCGAUUCGCUAGUCUACGCUGCUGACACGCUCACACAGUCCAUGCAGCUUAAGUGACUAGGCUUUGAUAACCUAGAAUGAUCCUAGGGGAGAAGAGACAUUAUGAGUCCCGGAAGAGGAGAUGGAUAAGCCGGUUGUCAAAGUCGUAGGUCGUUGGUACCACUGUUUCUACUCGCAUGACCUUGACGAGAUUCAAAGGUGCAAGAGCCAUUUGUUCGAUGUCUCUGAGCUAACAAGGUUCAGCUACAACAACCGCGAUUUUGUAUCUUCUGAUGAUCACGGUUCGACCUAAAUGAUCCUCUAUCUAAGGUUAUAAGCUACCACGUACAGAGUCUACAACCAACGUUCCAGUUCUUAUCCCCACGAUGAUCUAUCAAAGUGUAACACAGAAUCUUACGGUAAAGGUCACGGUUACAAAGUUAGUAAUACAUAGACUAUAAAAACCACAGUUACAAUCUAGUAAUACAAAGUCUUACCGACUGUGCAUCCAACGUUCCAGUUCUUACCCUAAUGAUGAUCAAAGUGUAGAACAUUAGAAACAUACCACAUGAAACAUUACGUUGGUUCAACUAAAUUAUAUACUCUUUAAAGACAAAUAAUAUGUCACAAGGG
rnacentral:rRNA from 1 species